AAACCAUGGUGGGGAAACUGUCUUAGCAAACUCUAGAAUCUGUCUCAUGCUUCAAAUAGUAAUUCUCCAUCUACCUGAGUAAAAUUUGUAAUGCAAUUCCUCAUGUAC